rnacentral:rRNA from 1 species
AGAUUGAACGCUGGCGGCAUGCCUAACACAUGCAAGUCGAACGGGAGUAGCAAUACUCUAGUGGCGGACGGGUGAGGAAUACGUAGGAAUUUGCCCUUAAGUGGGGGAUAACCCGGGGAAACCCGGAUUAAUACCGCAUGACCUCGAAAGAGCAAAGUGGGGGAUCGCAAGACCUCACGCUUUUGGAGAAGCCUACGUCGGAUUAGCUAGUUGGUGAGGUAAUGGCUCACCAAGGCGACGAUCCGUAACUGGUCUGAGAGGAUGAUCAGUCACACCGGAGCUGAGACACGGUCCGGACUCCGUACGGGAGGCAGCGAGUGGGGAAUAGUUGGACAAGUGGGCGCAAGCCGUGAUCCAGCAAUGCCGCGUGUGGUAGAAGUAAGGCCGUUACGGGUUAGUAAACGG